GCGGAGUGCUUAAUGCGUUAACUGCGGCACCGAGGUUCGACCCCCGACACCUAGCACUCAUCGUUUACGGCGUGGACUACCAGGGUAUCUAAUCCUGUUCGCUCCCCACGCUUUCGUGCCUCAGCGUCAGUUGCAGUCCAGAGAGUCGCCUUCGCCACUGGUGUUCCUCCUAAUAUCUACGCAUUUCACCGCUACACUAGGAAUUCCACUCUCCUCUCCUGCACUCAAGCCCUACAGUUUCAAAGGCUUACUACGGUUGAGCCGUAGCCUUUGACCUCUGACCUAUAGGGCCGCCUACGCACCCUUUACGCCCAAUGAUUCCGGAUAACGCUUGCCCCCUACGUAUUACCGCGGCUGCUGGCACGUAGUUAGCCGGGGCUUCCUCCUAAGGUACCGUCAUUAUCUUCCCUUAGGACAGAGCUUUACGACCCGAAAGCCUUCAUCGCUCACGCGGCGUUGCUGCAUCAGGCUUUCGCCCAUUGUGCAAUAUUCCCCACUGCUGCCUCCCGUAGAGUCUGGACCGUGUCUCAGUUCCAGUGUGGCCGUUCACCCUCUCAGGCCGGCUACUGAUCGUCGCCUUGGUGAGCCAUUACCUCACCAACUAGCUAAUCAGACGCGGGCCCAUCCUGUACCGAAAUUCUUUGACCUUAUGAGGAUGCCUCUAAAGGUGUWAUGGGGAAUAGCAAUGGUUCCCAUUGUAAUCCCCUGWCAGGGAGGUUGCCACGCGUACUCACCGUCCGCGCUAAGUAAGUYAUUCACCCGAAGCUUYCUGAAAWACUCCGCYGACUUGAAAAAAAAGGANSCGCARCGUUAUCCUG
rnacentral:rRNA from 1 species